UUCCAUGAGUCCAUGGGACCUGCCUCGCGUGGUGGCGUUCCCUUCCUAGCCAUGGAAUAAAAAUGUUUUGGUCCCUACUAUGCCUGCUACCAUUC